UGGGGAAUAUUGCGCAAUGGGCGAAAGCCUGACGCAGCCACGCCGCGUGUGUGAUGAAGGCCUUCGGGUCGUAAAGCACUGUCGGGGGGGACGAAGUUCUGACGGUACCCUCCAAGAAAGCACCGGCUAACCCUGUGCCAGCAGCCGCGGUAAUACAGGGGGUGCAAGCGUUGCUCGGAAUUACUGGGCGUAAAGCGAGCGCAGGCGGCCGAUUAAGUCAGAGGUGAAAGCCCGGGGCUCAACCCCGGAAAUGCCUUUGAAACUGGUAGGCUUGAAUGCAGGAGAGGGUCGCGGAAUUCUUGGUGUAGAGGUGAAAUUCGUAGAUAUCAGGAAGAACACCAGUGGCGAAAGCGGCGACCUGGCCUGACAUUGACGCUCAUGCUCGAGAGCGUGGGGAGCAAACAGG
rnacentral:rRNA from 1 species